GAUGAAGAACGUAGUGAAAUGCGAUAAGUAAUGUGAAUUGCAGAAUUCAGUGAAUCAUCGAAUCUUUGAACGCACAUUGCGCCCGCCAGUAUUCUGGCGGGCAUGCCUGUUCGAGCGUCAUUACAACCCUCAAGCCCCCCGGCUUGGUGUUGGGGACCGGCCACCGGUGCCCUGCUGCUUCCGCGGCAGGCGCACCCGGCCGCCCCCGAAAUGAAUUGGCGGCCCCGUCGCGGCCUCCCUAUGCGUAGUAGCACACAUCUCGCAGCUGGAGCGCGGCGCGGCCACUGCCGUAAAACGCACCCACUUUUUUUACAGUUGACCUCGAAUCAGGUAGGAAUACCCGCUGAACUUAAGCAUAUCAAUAAGCGGAGGA
rnacentral:misc_RNA from 1 species